rnacentral:rRNA from 1 species
CCUACGGGUGGCAGCAGUAGGGAAUUUUGCGCAAUGGGCGAAAGCCUGACGCAGCAACGCCGCGUGAUCGAGACGCCCUUCGGGGUGUAAAGAUCUGUCAGUGGGGACGAAACUUGACGGUACCCACAGAGGAAGCACCGGCUAACUCCGUGCCAGCAGCCGCGGUAAUACGGGGGGUGCAAGCGUUGUCCGGAAUCAUUGGCCGUAAAGAGUUCGUAGGCGGCACGUAAAGUCUGGUGUUAAAGGCAGAGGCUCAACUUCUGUACGGCACUGGAUACUUGCGAGCUAGAGUGCGGUAGAGGGAAAGGGAAUUCCUGGUGUAGCAGUGAAAUGCUUAGAUAUCAGGAGGAACAUCGGUGGCGAAGGCGCGUUACUGGGCCGUAAUUGACGCUGAGGAACGAAGGCCAGGGUAGCAAAAGGGAUUAGAUACCCUGGUAGUC